GAGAACGUGGUGUAACGGGAUAACACGUCAGUCUACGAAACUGUUCGCGUAGCGUGGCGUAGCCAUGAAGUGAAGGUUCAAGUCCUUCCGUUCCG
rnacentral:tRNA from 1 species